ACUCAAAUGAAUUGACGGGGACCCGCACAAGCAGUGGAGUAUGUGGUUUAAUUCGAAGCAACGCGAAGAACCUUACCAGGUCUUGACAUCCUCCUGAAUAGUGUAGAGAUAUGCUAGGCCUUCGGGACAGGAGAGACAGGUGGUGCAUGGUUGUCGUCAGCUCGUGUCGUGAGAUGUUGGGUUAAGUCCCGCAACGAGCGCAACCCUUGAUCUUUGUUGCCAGCAUGUAAUGGUGGGCACUCUAAGAUGACUGCCGGUGACAAACCGGAGGAAGGUGGGGAUGACGUCAAAUCAUCAUGCCCCUUAUGACCUGGGCUACACACGUACUACAAUGGCCGGUACAGAGGGCAGCGAAGCCGCGAGGUGAAGCAAAUCUCAUAAAGCCGGUCUCAGUUCGGAUUGCAGGCUGCAACUCGCCUGCAUGAAGCCGGAAUUGCUAGUAAUCGCGGAUCAGCAUGCCGCGGUGAAUACGUUCCCGGGUCUUGUACACACCGCCCGU
rnacentral:rRNA from 1 species